UAGGGGAAUCUUCCACAAUGGACGCAAGUCUGAUGGAGCAACGCCGCGUGAGUGAAGAAGGUCUUCGGAUCGUAAAACUCUGUUGUUAGAGAAGAACACGAGUGAGAGUAACUGUUCAUUCGAUGACGGUAUCUAACCAGCAAGUCACGGCUAACUACGUGCCAG
rnacentral:rRNA from 1 species